GGCGACGGCGUUCUCGCCGGAUGUAGGAACCGACCCGGGGACCGCCGGGGCAACCCGGCGCCCCCGAGACGGGGCGAACCACGGUGAAAUGACGGAUCGUCGGCCCCGCGCCGGCGACUCGCCGAAUGAGUUUCUGACCUAUCAACUCGAGACGGCGGGGUAGAGGCCCGCCGCGGUAACGACGGGUAACGGGGAAUCAGGGUUCGAUUCCGGAGAGGGAGCCCCGAGAAACGGCUACCACUUCCAAGGAAGGCAGCAGGCGCGCAACUUACCCUAAUCUCGAUUCGAGGAGGUAGUGACAAGAAAUACCGAUGCGGGACCCUACGGGUGCCGCGUUCGGAAUGAGUACGAUUCGAACCACCUAACGAGGAACGAUCGGAGGGCAAGUCUGGUGCCAGCAGCCGCGGUAAUUCCAGCU
rnacentral:rRNA from 1 species